rnacentral:lncRNA from 1 species
CGCUUGUUUGAUUUGAUGCAGAGUGGAAAUCAGGUUUUUCUCCUCAGGUUGUAUAUUGCAUACUGCAAGAUACUGCCAAUACCAAAGACUCAUUGGCCUGAUUUUUUACACAGAAAAGCGUCCUAAUGGUUGGUGCCAGAAUGACAACCUUCAGAAUUAAAUCUUCUAGUUAAUAUAACAAAUCAGAAGAGGUACCGGUUUCUUCAUGAUAUCUGGACAGUGAAUUUUCAAGAUGAGCUCUGUCUGAGCCAUUUAACUCAAAAAGAAAGGGUAGCAAAUAACCAAACCAGUUCAUAUUCCUGUGGAAUAUUUGUCAAAGUACAUCUAAAAAGUUUAGUUAAAAAAACCUGAUAAUAAAAAAACUGUCUUUGACCUUCUUUUAGUAAAAUGAGAUGUUUGGGUAAGGCAGUGGUAUUGCAUACAUCCCAUGGAAAAUAGUUUAUUACAGUUUCAAGAUACAGACUGGUCCAUCUCUAGUUUCAGCUCUAACACUCAGCGCUUUAGGGCCUGAAAGGUUGGCUUCAGUUCCUGGUAUGACCACAGGGUGGUUAUUGCAGAAAUACAGCAGAAAUACUUUUCCUUCAGCUAGUCACGACAGUGUGAGAUGAGAGGUUGGAAAAGCAAUUGCCAAGUACCUUGUAGCCUCCUUUUUCAUCAAGGUGAGACCCUCUCCUAGUAUGUGAUCUACAGCAGGCUACACUGAAUCAUACGAUGACAAUGUUAUCGCUGCCACAUCUCUGGGAACCCGUUCAUAAUUAUACGGACUGUCUACUUAAGAAGCUCAGAGUGAGUUAGAAACGUUGAUGAAGCCUCUGUUCUGUGAGGUGGAAGAGAGUGUGAACAGCCACAUUCACUGGAGUAGUGAACCAAAUUGCCUUGACUGGAACCAUUAUUCACUUGCACCUUUGACAUCAGCAGCCAGGUAGGGGAAGAAAAGAAAGUGUUUUGAAUGAACUGAGGUAGCAGGCCUCGGUGAAUUUUGUUUCAUUCUCAGAAGGCUUCAAGUGGAACUCACUCACAUUUAUAUACUAACUAAUUGUAAAUACUAGCUACUUUUGUUGCAAGUGAACUCAUCUCUUGCUGAAGUAGGUUCUUCUCUUUUUGGACAGGUUAUGCUUUUGUGGAUUUGGAAGUGCUGUCUUUGCUUGGCACACAUAUUUGGAUGGCCUCUUUCCUGUCCCUGUAUGAUUCUUGCAUGAAGCAUCCAGGGAGCAUGCUUUUUGCAACAAAUAAGUAGACAAAUGUGCUUAUAAGAAACAGAAAAAAAAGUGGUGGGUGAGGUUUUGUUAUCUGGAAACAGUUUUGUUCAAUUUGUCUUGCCAUGUCAAAUGUACUGCUGAUGGUAUUUGUUGAAGAUCAAGGUGUAUUUUUUCCUGUGGCUCUUGAAUACUUGGGAACAUAUGAACUGCAGUUCCAAAAGUAAUGACGCUGUAGUAUAGUGUCUCGGUACCUAAGCUAGUUUAAAAUUAGUGAACACCCAGUAGCAGUUUAGCUCUGCUAACUGGCAUCUGAGGGCCACUUUAUCUUGUCAAGAAGAGGUCUGUUUGCAUCUUCUCAUUGCAGCUCUGUAUUUAUUUGGAAUGGUAGUCACAGGUUGGACAGGCUUCACGUUGAGU